CAGUCGCCGCGGGAAUACGGAGGGGGCUAGCGUUGUUCGGAAUUACUGGGCGUAAAGCGCACGUAGGCGGCUUGGUAAGUUAGAGGUGAAAGCCCGGAGCUCAACUCCGGAAUUGCCUUUAAGACUGCCGAGCUAGUAGGUGAGAGAGGUAAGUGGAAUUCCGAGUGUAGAGGUGAAAUUCGUAGAUAUUCGGAAGAACACCAGUGGCGAAGGCGGCUUACUGGCUCAUUCUAGACGCUGAGGUGCGAAAGCGUGGGGAGCAAACAGGAUUAGAGACCCCAGUAGUCCCUGUCUCUUAUAC
rnacentral:rRNA from 1 species